UUUACGAAACGGCAAACCUGCUGAAAAGCAGGGACGCAAAGCUAUAGGGCCUUCACCGGAAUUAAGGAUAGGCAGCCUGGCUACCGAA
rnacentral:ncRNA from 1 species